rnacentral:rRNA from 1 species
GCGAACGGGUGAGUAACGCGUAGGUAACCUGCCUUGUAGCGGGGGAUAACUAUUGGAAACGAUAGCUAAUACCGCAUAACAAUGGAUGACACAUGUCAUUUAUUUGAAAGGGGCAAUUGCUCCACUACAAGAUGGACCUGCGUUGUAUUAGCUAGUAGGUGAGGUAAUGGCUCACCUAGGCGACGAUACAUAGCCGACCUGAGAGGGUGAUCGGCCACACUGGGACUGAGACACGGCCCAGACUCCUACGGGAGGCAGCAGUAGGGAAUCUUCGGCAAUGGGGGCAACCCUGACCGAGCAACGCCGCGUGAGUGAAGAAGGUUUUCGGAUCGUAAAGCUCUGUUGUAAGUCAAGAACGGGUGUGAGAGUGGAAAGUUCACACUGUGACGGUAGCUUACCAGAAAGGGACGGCUAACUACGUGCCAGCAGCCGCGGUAAUACGUAGGUCCCGAGCGUUGUCCGGAUUUAUUGGGCGUAAAGCGAGCGCAGGCGGUUUGAUAAGUCUGAAGUUAAAGGCUGUGGCUCAACCAUAGUUCGCUUUGGAAACUGUCAAACUUGAGUGCAGAAGGGGAGAGUGGAAUUCCAUGUGUAGCGGUGAAAUGCGUAGAUAUAUGGAGGAACACCGGUGGCGAAAGCGGCUCUCUGGUCUGUAACUGACGCUGAGGCUCGAAAGCGUGGGGAGCGAACAGGAUUAGAUACCCUGGUAGUCCACGCCGUAAACGAUGAGUGCUAGGUGUUGGAUCCUUUCCGGGAUUCAGUGCCGCAGCUAACGCAUUAAGCACUCCGCCUGGGGAGUACGACCGCAAGGUUGAAACUCAAAGGAAUUGACGGGGGCCCGCACAAGCGGUGGAGCAUGUGGUUUAAUUCGAAGCAACGCGAAGAACCUUACCAGGUCUUGACAUCCCGAUGCUAUUUCUAGAGAUAGAAAGUUACUUCGGUACAUC